UCCCGUGUAGAUCAGUUGGUAGAGCAUGGCGCUUGCAACGCCAGGGUUGUGGGUUUGAUUCCCACAGGGGAU
rfam:Salmo salar isolate Sally breed double haploid chromosome ssa25, whole genome shotgun sequence.